AUCCUUUUGUAGUUAGUGAGUUUAAUGACUGGGUGUUCACGCACUUGCGUGAGAUGUGCCACCCUCAAACUUUGUUACGAUGUCAGCUCAUUACCUAACUUGAAA
rnacentral:snoRNA from 2 species